rnacentral:tRNA from 1 species
GGGGACAUAGCUCAAAUGGGAGAGCGUCGCCUUUGCACGGCGAAGGUUAGGGGUUCGAGUCCCCUUGUCUCCA